UGGAUGGCUACAAACUCUUCAGAGGAGACAGGAAAAGGAGAGUGGUGGAGGGGUGGCCCUUUAUAUUAGGGAGGUUUUGGAUGUCAUAGGUAUUGAAACUAAUGACGAUGAAGUUGAGUGCCUAUGGGUGAGAAUUAAGGGAAAGGCCAGCAAGGCUGACAUCCUACUGGGAGUCUGCUAUCGUCCACCCAACCAGGAUGAAGAGGUGGACAACUUAUUCUGAGUCAUGGCUCACUGGCGAGGUUCCAGAUGAUUGUAAACUGGCCACUGUGACACCCAUUUACAAAAAAGGAUUUCCUCUUGGAUGCUUCGGGUCAACUGUCCAUGCUGUGGCCCCUCUCAGCCCAUUGGAGGUUCAGGUGAAGAAACAGAGAAGGUAUUGCAAGCACUACGCAACAUCAGCUAGAACAAUGGCUUUUUACCAGCAUUGCUCUGGUCUCCAGUCUAAAACACUGUAUCAUCUGAGCUGCUAUGAAGAAAAAGUAGCUUCAUCCCAGGAAGACUGAGAAAAAUUACAUAAAAUA